GGACGCGCUGACCGCCGGCGGCGCAGCCUCGGGCCUCUCUCCAUCUCUCAAGUGGUGGCGGCUGUGGGUUUUUCUGCAGGCGAUCCUUUUGAGUGAUUUGUUUCACGCACGCGCCCUGCUGUGGGGUAAAGCGGCAGAUUCAUGCUGCUGUCAUUUGUCGUUAAAACGAUGGGCUUGUGUGUACCUUUUGGAUUUGAGGGCAGGGAGAUGACAUUGUGACUUGGCUUCCUGUGACCGUCCAUUCUCAAGGUCUGAGACCUGGGAGGAAGCUGGAGAAAAGAUGCCCUCUGAAUCUUUCUGUUUGGCUGCCCAGGCUCGCCUUGACUCCAUAUGGUUGCAAACAGAUAUACAGGUGUUGAGUGUUGGUAGAUAUGAGAGUCCAGUGUUUAGAACUGUGUUGUGUGGCCAGGCGCAGUGGCUCACGCCUGUAAUCCCGGCAGUUUGGGAGGCCGAGGUGGGUGGAUCCCCUGAGGUCAGGAGUUGGAGACCAGCCUGACCAACAUGCUGUGCGGUCAGAGAAGAAACGCCUUAGGAAGCCAAGCAAGUGGCUUUUGGAAUAUACAGAAGAAUAUGAUCAGAUAUUUACUCCUAAGAAAAAACAAAAGAAGAUACAGGAGCAGGUGCACAAGGACUUUAUGAAAGUAAACAUCAAAGAAAACCAACUAAGAAACUUCUUGAAUCCAAUGAUUUAGACCCUGGAUUUAUGCCCAAGAAGGGGGACCUUGGCCUUUCUAAAAAGUGCUUAAGAAGCUGGUCACCUGGAGAAUGGAAUAACUGAAUCUUGUGCCGCAUCUUUUUCAAAAGAUUUUGGUGGAGGCACUAUCAAGAUAUUUGACAAACCAAGGACGCGAAAACGACAGAGGCAUGCUGCAGCCAAGAUGCAAUGCAAAAAGGUGAAAAAUGAUGACUCAUCAAAAGAGAUUCCGUGCUCAGAGGGAGAACUAAUGCCUCACAGGACGGCCACAAGCCCCAAGGAGACUGUUGAGGAAGGUGUAGAACACGAUCCUGGGAUGGCUGCCUCUAACACAAUGCAGGGUGAACGUGGUGGAGGAGCUGCACUCAAGGAGAAUGUUUGACAGAAUUGUGAAAAAUCAGGUGAGCUGCUGUUAUGUGAGGCUCAGUGCUGCGGGGCUUUCCACCUGGAGUGCCUUGGAUUGACUGAGAUGCCAAGAGGAAAAUUUAUCUGCAAUGAAUGUCACACACAGAGAUGAGGUCUUGUUGUCCAGGUUGGAGUGCAGUGGCGUGAUCAGAGCUCAUUGUAGUCUUGAUCUCCUGGGCCCAAGCAGUCCUCCUAACUCAGCUUCCCAAGUAGCUGGGACUACAGCCACUUGCCACCAUGCCUGGCAUGAUAUGUAGACAUUACAGCAUGUAAACUGAAGAAAUCAGGGCUGAGGUAUGGAUCUUAUGCCUGUAAGUCAUUGAAGCCGCACCUAUGGAUCAUACUUCCCAAAGAAAAAGUGUCAUUAGGGCUGGAGUACGGUGGUACAACUCUGACUCACUGCUGCCUCAACCUCGCAGGCUCAAGCGAUCCUUCUGGCUCAGCCUCCUUAGUAGCUGGGACUACAGGGUCUCUGGAGGAGCCUAAGGUGAUCUCCGCCUUCUCUGGAAAGCAGGCCGGGAAGCACGUGGUGCACAUCGCUUGCGGGAGCACUUACAGCGCGGCCAUCACUGCCGAGGGGGAGCUGUACACCUGGGGCCACGGGAACUGCGGCCGGCUGGGCCACGGCUCCAGUGAAGAUGAGGCCACUCCGAUGCUGGUAGCUGGGCUUAAAUAAGGACUGAAGGUCACCGAUGUGGCGUGUGGGAGUGGGGACGCUCAAACCCUGGCUGUCACUGAGAAUGACAGUGGUAACCCUGGCCAGGAGCGCGGACGUGCUGAGCAUCGUGCAGUCGGCUGCCCAGGCCGUGCUGCAGAGCGGCUGUCCGUGCUGCUGCCCACCACGGAGGAGCAGGCCCGGGCACUCUCUGCUCUCCUGCCCUGCGCAGUUUCAGGCAAUGAAGUGAACAUAAGUCCAGGUCGUCAAUUCAUGAUUGAUCUUCUGGUGGGCAGCUUGAUGGCUGCUGGAGGGUUGGAGUCAGCCUUACACGCAGCCAUUACUGCGGAGAUCCAAGUAUGGCCUUGGAGGCACACGUGACCUGGUGGUGCACUGAGAUCAGAAAUACCACACUCACACAUGUGAAGAAUAACAGAACACAGAUACUGAGGCCAAAAAAGAAGCACAGAAGGAAAAAGAAAUUGAUGAACAGGAAGCGAAUGCCUCAACAUUUCACAGAAGCAGGACUCCAUUGGAUAAAGACCUUAUUAAUACGGGGAUCUGUGAGCCUUCUGGCAAACAGUGUUUGCCUCUGGUUCAGCUCAUACAACAGCUUCUUAGGCUGGAGUGCAAUGACGUGAUCUUGGCUCACUGCAACCUCCACCUCCCAGGUUCAAGUGAUUCUCCUGCCUCAGCCUCUCGAGCCGCUGGGAUUACAGAUGAUAGUGUCGAACCAAGUGGAACAAAGAAAGAAGAUCCGAAUGACAAAGAGAAAAAAGAUGAAGAAGAAACUCCUGCACCUGUAUAUAGGGCCAAGUCAAUUCUGGACAGCUGGGUAUGGGGCAAGCAACCAGGAAGAGGAAGACAGAGCUCUUACUAGAGGGAGGCAGAGAUGGCACAGCAAGAGACAUGCCCCCAGAAUGGCACCACUGCCCCAGGACAGGCCCACCCAUGGGACCAGGAAAUGGAAGCCCAAAGAGGAGAGGAGUUUACAGCAGGCCCUGGACUAGAGAUUAACACAACAACAACAAUAACAAAUCUGAUUUAAGCUUCACACAUUCUCGUCCUGUUGUCCAGGCUGGAAUGCAGUGGCAUGAUCUUGGCUCAUUGCAAGCUCCACCUUCCAGGUUCACACCAUUCUCCUGCUUCAGCCUCCUGAGCAGCUGGGACUAUAGACACCCACCACCACGCCUGGCUAAUUUAUUGUAUUUUUUAGUAGAGACGGGGUUUCACCCUGUUAGCCAGGAUGGUCUCAAUCUCCUGACCUCGUGAUCCACCCUCCUCGGCCUCCCAAAGUGCUGGGAUUACAGGCAUGAGCCACUGCGCCCAGACUUGUGAGGUUUUAAUAUGAAGUAUUAAAGCUAUGCUGUUUAGACAACUUGAGAAAUGUUUCUUCUCCUAUUUCUGACAGAGUUGAUGUAAGAUGUGUGCUAUUUCUUCCUUAAGCAUUUGGAAAGAAUUCACUUAUUAAGCCACGUGAGACUGUAGUUUUCUUUAUAAGGUGUUUAAUUACAGGUUCAAUUACAUAUAUUUGAAUAUUCAUUUUGGUAACCUGUG